rnacentral:rRNA from 1 species
UGGGUUUGACAUGGAUCGGGAGUGCUCAGAGAUGGGUGUGCCUCUUUUGGGGUCGGUUCACAGGUGGUGCAUGGCUGUCGUCAGCUCGUGUCGUGAGAUGUUGGGUUAAGUCCCGCAACGAGCGCAACCCUUGUUCACUGUUGCCAGCACGUUAUGGUGGGGACUCAGUGGAGACCGCCGGGGUCAACUCGGAGGAAGGUGGGGAUGACGUCAAGUCAUCAUGCCCCGUUAUGUCCG